UACAGAGGAUGCAAGCGUUAAUCGGAAUUACUGGGCGUAAAGCGUGCGCAGACGGUUACAUAAGUCAGGUGUGAAAGCCCCGGGCUCAACCUGGGAAUUGCAUUUGAGACUGUGUAGCUAGGGUGCGGAAGAGGGAAGCGGAAUUUCCGGUGUAGCGGUGAAAUGCGUAGAUAUCGGAAGGAACACCAGUGGCGAAAGCGGCUUCCUGGUCCAGCACCGACGUUCAGGCACGAAAGCGUGGGGAGCAAACAGG
rnacentral:rRNA from 1 species